UCUCUCUCUGUCUCUCUCUAUCGAUCUCAGUCUCUCUCUCUCUGUCGAUUUCUGUCAAUUUUGGUCUCUCUCUCUGUCGAUCUCUCUCUGUCGAUCCCUGUUUGUCUCGGUCUCUCUCUCUGUCUGUCUCUCUCUCCCUUCCUCUAUAUUAAGAAAAGGUUCUCUUUUACAUUCAGAUACGUGGUUGGAUUUGGACUUGGACUGGUUAUUCCAAGCCUUCCCAAACGCCUCUUCUCUCUCCGAAAUUGUAGAGAGAGAAACACCAAGCCCUCACAAACAUCUCUUUUCUCUCACAUUGCCAUUAUUUGAACAACACAAAUACAGUUUGAUUCGAUUUUAGGAGCUUUUCACAAUUUUCGCUCCUCUCUCUCUACUCGAAAGCAUCAACAGAUUUGGACUUGGGCUCAAGUAUAUAUGUAAUAAGGAAGGACUAAAGGCAAGUUCCAUUGUACUUAUUGCACUUGCAGAGUAUACCAAAUGUUUCUGAGUUUUAUGGCCUUGAUAUCCGUGUAUGCUUCUAUUUACAGAGUGUGAUAUACCCUCAUGCUUAAACACUCUUCAGUUUCUCCACAAGAACCUCAAUAUGUUGGAGAUUAGUUCUCGGAUGGUUGGCCGGAAGGACACCUCAAAAAGAGUUUUUGACACAUGGAUAGAGAUUUUUCAAAAGAGAAAAGUAAAACGAGAAAGGAAGUCAACUAGUGGCUGCAGUAGCAUCUCCAAUGAAUUUGACUUUCUGCA